UACGGGGGGGGCAAGCGUUGUUCGGAAUUACUGGGCGUAAAGGGCUCGUAAGCGGCCAACUAAGUCAGACGUGAAAUCCCUCGGCUUAACCGGGGAACUGCAUCUGAUACUGGAUGGCUUGAGUUCGGGAGAGGGAUGCGGAAUUCCAGGUGUAGCGGUGAAAUGCGUAGAUAUCUGGAGGAACACCGGUGGCGAAGGCGGCAUCCUGGACCGACACUGACGCUGAGGAGCGAAAGCCAGGGGAGCAAACGGG
rnacentral:rRNA from 1 species